UUGACCUUUUAUCACAAGUCAACUGUCCUAACAAAAACUUCUCCUUCUAAUCACUUGAAUUUUUUAGGGCAUACAUCCACAAACCUGAACUCUAUUUUCUCUCUCAUCACACACCAUUCUACACAAAAUAUUUGUAUUAAGGUCUUCCGAUGUUUUUACUUUUUCACCCUCAAACAUUUAUGUUUAUCUUUAUUUGUGUAGGAAAAAUGCAACCAUGCAUUUAAUGCACGAAGACAAUGUGAAUGACAAUUUGCUUGGACCAAAUUUCUUUGGCUGGACACAUGCACUGGGUCCAACAAUCUUGUGCUGAAUAUUAUAGUAAUGCGACGUUACACAAUUUUAUAUGAACUAGGAGUAACUUUGGAGAAAGGUGUGGAGCCAUAUAAUUGAAAGAAAGCAAUAGUAAGUGGAGGACAGAAUGGUCGCUGUUAAAGCCAGCAUUAUCGAUGAGGCCCAAAAGAAAAGGCUCUUUAGAAUUCUUCUAAGUACUUGUGGACAAUCUUUGCUUAAUGUUUAAGGGUUGAAAAACACAAGUCCAAAAUAAAAUAUAAAGAAAAGGUUUCAUCAUUA